UCAUCAGUAAGGUACACCCUUACCUGUUACUCCUUGUGGAGUUGCAGAAAAUGAUGAAUGAAGGUCAUUAAUACUUAUUCCCACCCCUGAGGAACUAACAACCCUUCAGCAACCAUUCUGCU